GAUAUUAGCAGUGGUACAACAUUCGACUGCAGAUCGAGUGGUCCCCGGUUCAAAACCGGGAGUCUUCU
rnacentral:tRNA from 1 species